rnacentral:rRNA from 1 species
AGCGAACGCUGGCGGCAGGCUUAACACAUGCAAGUCGAACGGACCUUUCGGGGUUAGUGGCGGACGGGUGAGUAACACGUGGGAACGUGCCUUUAGGUUCGGAACAACACAGGGAAACUUGUGCUAAUACCGGAUGUGCCCUUCGGGGUAAAGGAUUUAUCGCCUUUAGUAGCGGCCCGCGUCUGAUUAGUCUAGUUGGUGGGGUAAAGGCGUCACCAAGGCUACGAUCAGUAGCUGGUCUGAGAGGAUGGCC